rnacentral:rRNA from 1 species
CCCUUAGAUGUUCUGGGCUGCACGCGCGCUACACUGAUGCGCUCAACGAGUUUUAACCUUGCCUGGAAAGGUUGGGUAAUCUUUUUAAAACGCAUCGUGAUGGGGAUAGAUUAUUGCAAUUAUUAAUCUUCAACGAGGAAUUCCUAGUAAGCGCGAGUCAUCAGCUCGUGCUGAUUACGUCCCUGCCCUUUGUACACACCGCCCGUCGCCCCUACCGAUUGAGUGAUCCGGUGAAUAAUUCGGACUGCGGCAUUGACCGGUUCCCGAUCGUUGCUGCGGAAAGUUUAGUGAACCUUAUCACUUAGAGGAAGGAGAAGUCGUAACA